UACGGGGGGAGCAAGCGUUGUUCGGAUUUACUGGGCGUAAAGGGCGCGUAGGCGGUCAGUGCAAGUCAGGCGUGAAAUCCCCGGGCUUAACCUGGGAAUGGCGCUUGAAACUACGGGACUGGAGUAUGGCAGAGGGAGGUGGAAUUCCACGUGUAGCGGUGAAAUGCGUAGAGAUGUGGAGGAACACCGAUGGCGAAGGCAGCCUCCUGGGCCAAUACUGACGCUCAUGCACGAAAGCGUGGGGAGCAAACAGG
rnacentral:rRNA from 1 species